GUGAAGCGUAAAUGAUGUCGCGUAAAUGACGCCCAAAUGGGACAGACCCUUAAGAGGCAAGAUAUAGAUAAUGGCCAGACCCUUAACAGCAUUGAUCAACAGAGGGAUCUUGAUGUCUUAGUCCGCAGCUGCCUAGAGCCUGCCAGUCCAGAUUUCAGCAACGAGGCUCAGGAGACUUACCAAGCCCUGAGGCAGUUUGACUGAAUAUCAAGAAAAUCCUUUGGAAACACAGAAACCUUUGUGAAAAGAUGAAUAACUUACUUGGAGUCAAUAAAUUGUUGUUUCCUUAACCUAUA